GACGACGCUGGCGGCGUGCCUAAUACAUGCAAGUCGAGCGGGGAUUAUGCUUGAUCGCUUCGGUGAGACGGCAUAUAUCCUAGCGGCGGACGGGUGAGUAACGCGUGGGUAAUCUACCUCGUAGUUCGGGAUAACAGGCCGAAAGGCUUGCUAAUACCGGAUGAGUUCAUGCUUAUGCAUAUAGGCAUGAAGAAAGGGCUAGCCCGCUAUGAGAUGAGCCCGCGUCCCAUUAGCUUGUUGGUGGGGUAAUGGCCUACCAAGGCAACGAUGGGUAGCCGGCCUGAGAGGGUGUACGGCCACACUGGGACUGAGACACGGCCCAGACUCCUACGGGGGGCAGCAGUAGGGAAUUUUCGGCAAUGGGCGAAAGCCUGACCGAGCGACGCCGCGUGAGGGACGAAGGCCUUCGGGUUGUAAACCUCUGUCUGGGGGGAUGAGAACGGACGGUACCCCCGGAGGAAGCCCCGGCUAACUACGUG
rnacentral:rRNA from 1 species